rnacentral:sRNA from 1 species
AAAAACGACACAUAAAA